CUUGGCACUCGAGAACGACUGC
rnacentral:miRNA from 1 species